UACGGGGGGGGCAAGCGUUGUUCGGAAUUACUGGGCGUAAAGGGCUCGUAGGCGGCCAACUAAGUCGGAUGUGAAAUCCCCAGGCUUAACCUGGGAACUGCAUCUGAUACUGGAUGGCUUGAAUCCGGGAGAGGGAUGCAGAAUUCCAGGUGUAGCGGUGAAAUGCGUAGAGAUCGGGAGGAACAUCUGUGGCGAAGGCGACUACCUGGACCAGCACUGACACUGAGGCACGAAAGCGUGGGGAGCAAACAGG
rnacentral:rRNA from 1 species